rnacentral:rRNA from 1 species
UACGUAGGUGACCAGCGUUGUCCGGAUUUACUGGGCGUAAAGAGCGCGCAGGCGGUCGUUCAAGUCGAGUGUGAAAGCCCCCGGCUCAACUGGGGAGGGUCACUCGAUACUGAUCGACUUGAAGGCAGGAGAGGGAAGCGGAAUUCCCGGUGUAGUGGUGAAAUGCGUAGAUAUCGGGAGGAACACCAGUGGCGAAGGCGGCGACCUGGACAGAUAUUGACGCUGAGGUGCGAAAGCGUGGGGAGCAAACAGG